AAAUGCAGAAGCUGCUGCGCGGGAGUCGGCCAUGGACUGGAAAGAAGUUCUUCGUCGGCGCCUAGCGACGCCCAACACCUGUCCAAACAAAAAAAAAAGUGAACAAGAAUUAAAAGAUGAAGAAAUGGAUUUAUUUACAAAAUAUUACUCCGAAUGGAAAGGAGGUAGAAAAAACACAAAUGAAUUCUAUAAGACCAUUCCCCGGUUUUAUUAUAGGCUGCCUGCUGAAGAUGAAGUCUUACUACAGAAAUUAAGAGAGGAAUCAAGAGCUGUCUUUCUACAAAGAAAAAGCAGAGAACUGUUAGAUAAUGAAGAAUUACAGGAUUUAGAAAACUACAUAUUGGAACUUAUCCCUACGUUGCCACAAUUAGAUGGUCUGGAAAAAUCUUUCUACUCCUUUUAUGUUUGUACAGCAGUUAGGAAGUUCUUCUUCUUUUUAGAUCCUUUAAGAACAGGUAAAAGAAAAUCUUAUCUAACUUAGAUAUUAUGAGGAUAUUAUUAUAUCUAAAUCUCAAUAACUAAACUCUUGAAAAAUAUCAUUGAUUUUCCUGUCACUGCCAUUAAAAAUUUGGUGAAUUUCAAGGAGAUAAAAAGGUAGAAAAAACAGUAGCAGUACUUUGGUUAUGUUUAUCUGAAGAUAUUUUAUGAUUUACUUGCACUGACUAUAACCUGCUGUGUGACAGACAGGGGGACGUCAUCUAACAGUGAAGAAGUAUGAACUGGGUAGUCAGUCAUAAAUACCUCCUUCCAGUUCUAGGAAGCCAGUUAUUCGCAUAUAAUUUGCUGUCUCUGCUGUGUGACAUACUGCAGAAUUGUUCUCUUUUUGAUGAAAAAUAUGUAUUUGGAAAUAUGAGAGCCAUUUAGCCAGUGAUGCAUAUUUUUCUCAUUCUCUAUAAGGAUUGGAUUGGUAAAUAUGGCCUCAUUAACAGUAUGUUUAAUUAACUGUUCAAACCUGCCCAGACUUAACUACAUGUAACUGGAGC
rnacentral:sRNA from 1 species